CUACCGUAAAAACGAGCCGACGUCGUUUGACGUUAUCUCCACCAUCGAAGGGCAAAACAUUUAAUUAUUACAUACAGUAGAUGUGUUAUAUUUGUGAAUCAAUCAUUAUUAUGGUUGUCUCAUGUUCAGCAUUUGGAUGUACCUACCAAUAGGAAAUACAAAGGUGGAAGUAUUCAGUUCCAUAAAUUUCCACAGAAUUACUAAAAAAAUGGAUAAUUGAAGUAAAAAGAAAAAAAAUUGUACCUACAAAGUUCAGUUCAUUAUGUAGUGAAGACUUUAAAGCUGAAGAUUAUCAGAUUCGGCCUGGGGCGUUAUCUUUCAAAAACUAAUGCAUUUCCAUCUAUAUUUAAAGGGUUUCCAAGUCAUUUACAAAAAAAAAAAAAUGCCUGUUAAACGUCGUAUAUUAAAGAAAAUUAUGGUUAAAAUUAACUAUAUCUAGUACCCACCUACCUAUAUAAAUCACAAUAUAUUAAUGAAUCCAUAUUUUAGACCUAUGAAGCAGAUGUAAAAGUUCAACAACAAUUAACACUUGGUGGUUAAAAAUGUGUAAUAAUUUAGUUUUAAGAUAAUUUAUAUAUACUUAUUUAUUUAUUUGGA